rnacentral:lncRNA from 1 species
AACUAGAUGGAUCAUGCAUUGUUUCAGCACCUUCUAAUUAGCUAGUUGUCUUGAACAGUACACUCCUUGAUUCUUCUGUAUUUCCACUUAUUGUUCCAAUUCCAUGGAUAACAGAGGAAAGUAACCUUGUUGCAUUCGGCAUAGAAAUGGGUAACAAUUUAAUACACCAAAGAAAACUACAAGAUCGUGGCCAUGGUAAACAAAUCGAUGAGAAUGCAAGACCAGGUGUAAGGCUUGAAGACCUUCCAUGGGACCUUGUAGUAUACAAAAUUUUAUCUAAAUUACCACUGAAAGAGGCUGCAAAAACUAGUGUUUUGUCUACCAAGUGGAGGUGCAUCUGGUUGACGUGCCCCAGAUUGUGUUUUGAUGGUCUUGCGAUGUUCAAAUGCGAAAGGGGUGAACUGUUCUUACACGCUCGGCAAUUCAUUGCUCAGGUUAAUGCUGUUUUGCAAAAAUACCAGGGAGAAGUGGUUGAGGAAUUUCAUAUCAGAUUUGAUUUUCACAGCAUACCAGCUCAUUAUCUUGAUAAUUGGGUUAUCUUUUCCUUGUCAUCUAAGAUGAAGAAUCUAGCUUUAGAUCUGCAAACCAAUGAUAUUGAACGAUAUCCUGCACGCUACAAAUUCCCCUUUGAACUUUUGGACAGUGGAAGCUUGUCCGGUCUACAACAUGUGCAGUUCAGUUUUGUAUCUAUCAAACCACCUUCCAAGUUCAGAGGUUUCCCUAACCUGAGAAAGCUUGAUCUGCAACUUCUAGAUGCCUCUUCAAAGGAUUUUGAAACUAUGCUGUCAAAUUGCAAACUUCUUGAAUGGCUAAGCAUGGACAGAUGCCGCCUGAAUGGUGAACUUAGGGUAGGUAGUCCAUUGCCCCGUCUGGUAUACCUACAAGUUGUGUACUGCCAAGUAACCAAGAUACAAUUCCAUGCUGUGGAGCUAGCUAAUUUUGUAUAUAAAGGAGACUUUGUGCCCAUAGCCCUCAAGCAUUCGUUGAAGCUGGAAAAUGCAAACAUCAGGUUAUAUAGUUUGAAUGAUCGGCAUGCUAUCAGUGACCUGACUAAGUUGUUAUCAGAUACACCUUGGAAGUUUUCUCAUCUCAGGUACUUGCGGUUGAAAAACUUUGCAGAUUCUGGGAUCGUGGAGAUGAAUUUUUUUGUCUCUUUUCUCAGGGCUGCUCCUUUUAUUGAGAAGUUAGAGAUCCAUUUUUCCAUGAAUUUAUUAAUACUGGAUGAAUCGCAUGAGGACCAUCCUAUCAGGCAACAACUUGGACGCUGUGAAUACAAUAACCUGAAGAACAUGCGUAUCAUAGGAUAUAAAGGUUCAAGAGAUCAGGUCGAAUUUCUUCUACAUGUUGUGGAGAAUGCCCCUGCACUUGAGGUUUUAACUCUAGAGGCAGCUGGAAUAGAGUACCAGGAGGUUUCAUUUGUGUUGAAUGAAGCGUGGAUCGACAGAAUUACUCAGAGUGCCGAUAGAUCUGCUCUGAUUGCUCAACAGUAUCUGAGGGAGAAACUUAGCUCAAAGACACAGCUUUGUAUUAAGACUACUAGUUCCAGAUAGAGCUAGCGCUCUAUGCAAGCCAUGUGAAAAUAGCCAUUAGUGUAAGAUUAAUU